rnacentral:rRNA from 1 species
GACAGAGGGUGCAAACGUUGUUCGGAAUUACUGGGCGUAAAGCGCGUGUAGGCGGCUAAGUAAGUCGGGCGUGAAAUCCCACGGCUCAACCGUGGAAGUGCACUCGAAACUGCGUAGCUAGAGUCCUGGAGAGGAAGGUGGAAUGCUUGGUGUAGAGGUGAAAUUCGUAGAUAUCGGGAGGAACACCGGUGGCGAAGGCGGGUCUCUGGGCCGAUACUGACGCUGAGGAGCGAAAGCGUGGGGAGCGAACAGG